GGAAAAGAAACCAACAGGGAUUGCCCUAGUAACGGCGAGUGAAGCGGCAACAGCUCAAAUUUGAAAUCUGGCGUCUUUGGCGUCCGAGUUGUAAUUUGCAGAGGGCGCUUUGGCAUUGGCAGCGGUCCAAGUUCCUUGGAACAGGACGUCACAGAGGGUGAGAAUCCCGUACGUGGUCGCUAGCCUUUACCGUGUAAAGCCCCUUCGACGAGUCGAGUUGUUUGGGAAUGCAGCUCUAAAUGGGAGGUAAAUUUCUUCUAAAGCUAAAUACUGGCCAGAGACCGAUAGCGCACAAGUAGAGUGAUCGAAAGAUGAAAAGCACUUUGGAAAGAGAGUUAAAAAGCACGUGAAAUUGUUGAAAGGGAAGCGCUUGCAGCCAGACUUGCCUGUAGUUGCUCAUCCGGGUUUUUACCCGGUGCACUCUUCUAUAGGCAGGCCAGCAUCAGUUUGGGCGGUUGGAUAAAGGUCUCUGUCAUGUACCUCCUCUCGGGGAGAACUUAUAGGGGAGACGACAUGCAACCAGCCUGGACUGAGGUCCGCGCAUCUGCUAGGAUGCUGGCGUAAUGGCUGUAAGCGGCCCGUCUUGAAACACGGACCAAGGAGUCUAACAUCUAUGCGAGUGUUUGGGUGUCAAGCCCGAACGCGUAAUGAAAGUGAACGGAGGUGGGAACCUUUCGGGGUGCACCAUCGACCGAUCCUGAUGUCUUCGGAUGGAUUUGAGUAAGAGCAUAGCUGUUGGGACCCGAAAGAUGGUGAACUAUGCUUGAAUAGGGUGAAGCCAGAGGAAACUCUGGUGGAGGCUCGCAGCGGUUCUGACGUGCAAAUCGAUCGUCAAAUUUGGGCAUAGGGGCGAAAGACUAAUCGA
rnacentral:rRNA from 1 species